AGUAACACGUAGGUAAUCUACCUUUGGGUGGGGAAUAACUCAGGGAAACUUGAGCUAAUACCGCAUAAUGCAGCGGCACCUUAUGGUGACAGUUGUUAAAGGAGCAAUCCGCCUAAAGAGGAGCCUGCGGCAGAUUAGGUAGUUGGUAAGGUAAUGGCUUACCAAGCCUGCGAUCUGUAACCGACCUGAGAGGGUGGUCGGUCACACUGACACUGAAUAACGGGUCAG
rnacentral:rRNA from 1 species